CCUACGGGAGGCAGCAGUGGGGGAUAUUGCACAAUGGGGGGAACCCUGAUGCAGCGACGCCGCGUGGGUGAAGGAGCGUUUCGGCGCGUAAAGCCCUAUCGGCAGGGAAGCAGAUGACGGUACCUGGCCAAGAAGCCCCGGCUAACUACGUGCCAGCAGCCGCGGUAAUACGUAGGGGGCAAGCGUUAUCCGGAUUUACUGGGUGUAAAGGGGGCGCAGACGGCAAUGCAAGCCAGGAGGGAAAGCCCGGGGCCCAACCCCGGGACUGCUCUUGGAACUGCAUGGCUGGAGUACAGGAGGGGCAGGCGGAAUUCCUAGUGUAGCGGUGAAAUGCGUAGAUAUUAGGAGGAACACCGGUGGCGAAGGCGGCCUGCUGGACUGUGACUGACGUUGAGGCCCGAAGGCGUGGGGAGCAAACAGGAUUAGAUACCCGAGUAGUC
rnacentral:rRNA from 1 species